ACGGGAGGCAGCAGUGGGGAAUAUUGCACAAUGGGGGAAACCCUGAUGCAGCGACGCCGCGUGAGUGAAGAAGUAUUUCGGUAUGUAAAGCUCUAUCAGCAGGAAAGAAAAUGACGGUACCUGACUAAGAAGCCCCGGCUAACUACGUGCCAGCAGCCGCGGUACUACGUAGGGGGCAAGCGUUAUCCGGAUUUACUGGGUGUAAAGGGAGCGUAGACGGUAAGGCAAGUCUGAAGUGAAAUGCCAGGGCUCAACCCUGGAACUGCUUUGGAAACUGUCCUACUAGAGUGCAGGAGAGGUAAGUGGAAUUCCUAGUGUAGCGGUGAAAUGCGUAGAUAUUAGGAGGAACACCAGUGGCGAAGGCGGCUUACUGGACUGUAACUGACGUUGAGGCUCGAAAGCGUGGGGAGCAAACAGGAUUAGAUACCCUGGUA
rnacentral:rRNA from 1 species